GAUUGCAUCUUAGAACUUGGUCCAUCCAAAUGGAUGUGAACUAAAAUCCUAGACUAAUAUUACAAGUUUUCUAUAUGUUACCUUAAUUGGUUGCAUAUAGUAGCUAGUAAGUUUACCUUGAAAAAAUUAGAGUGCUCAAUGCGGGCUUAAUGCCUGAAUACUCGUGCAUGGAAUAAUAAAAUAGGAUCUUGGUUCUAUUUUGUUGGUUUUCUGAUCUAAGAUAAUGGUUAAGAGGGACGGACGGGGGCAUUCGUAUCGCUACGUGAGAGGUGAAAUUCUUGGACCGUAGCGAGACGUACAACUGCGAAAGCAUUUGCCAAGAAUGUCUUCAUUAAUCAAGAACGAAAGUCAGAGGUUCGAAGGCGAUCAGAUACCGCCCUAGUUCUGACCGUAAACGAUACCAACUAGCGUUCCGUCGGCGGUAAAUACGCCUUGA
rnacentral:rRNA from 1 species